GAUGAACGCUGGCGGCGUGCCUAAUACAUGCAAGUCGAGCGAACAGACGAGGAGCUUGCUCCUCUGACGUUAGCGGCGGACGGGUGAGUAACACGUGGAUAACCUACCUAUAAGACUGGGAUAACUUCGGGAAACCGGAGCUAAUACCGGAUAAUAUAUUGAACCGCAUGGUUCAAUAGUGAAAGACGGUUUUGCUGUCACUUAUAGAUGGAUCCGCGCCGCAUUAGCUAGUUGGUAAGGUAACGGCUUACCAAGGCAACGAUGCGUAGCCGACCUGAGAGGGUGAUCGGCCACACUGGAACUGGGACACGGUCCAGACUCCUACGGGAGGCAGCAGUAGGGAAUCUUCCGCAAUGGGCGAAAGCCUGACGGAGCAACGCCGCGUGAGUGAUGAAGGUCUUCGGAUCGUAAAACUCUCUUAUUAGGGAAGAACAAAUGUGUAAGUAACUAUGCACGUCUUGACGGUACCUAAUCAGAAAGCCACGGCUAACUACGUG
rnacentral:rRNA from 1 species